rnacentral:rRNA from 1 species
GAUGAACGCUGGCGGUCUGCUUAACACAUGCAAGUCGAGCGGCAGCGACAUAAACAAUCCUUCGGGUGCGCUUAUGGGCGGCGAGCGGCGGACGGGUGAGUAAUGCCUGGGAAUAUGCCCUGAUGUGGGGGAUAACCAUUGGAAACGAUGGCUAAUACCGCAUAAUCUCUUCGGAGCAAAGAGGGGGACCUUCGGGCCUCUCGCGUCAGGAUUAGCCCAGGUGAGAUUAGCUAGUUGGUGAGGUAAGAGCUCACCAAGGCGACGAUCUCUAGCUGGUCUGAGAGGAUGAUCAGCCACACUGGAACUGAGACACGGUCCAGACUCCUACGGGAGCAGCAGUGGGGAAUAUUGCACAAUGGGGGAAACCCUGAUGCAGCCAUGCCGCGUGUGUGAAGAAGGCCUUCGGGUUG